rnacentral:miRNA from 1 species
GAAACUGUUACAUUGGUGCAAAAGUCAUUGUGUUUUUUGCCGUUAUUUUCAACAGCAAAACCCUCAAUUACUUUUGCACCAAAGUCAUA